rnacentral:rRNA from 1 species
UACGUAGGGUGCAAGCGUUGUCCGGAAUUAUUGGGCGUAAAGAGCUCGUAGGCGGUUUGUCGCGUCUGCUGUGAAAACUCGGGGCUUAACUCCGGGCCUGCAGUGGGUACGGGCAGACUAGAGUGCGGUAGGGGGAGACUGGAAUUCCUGGUGUAGCGGUGAAAUGCGCAGAUAUCAGGAGGAACACCGGUGGCGAAGGCGGGGUCUCUGGGCCGAUACUGACGUGAGGAGCGAAAAGCGUGGGGGAGCGAAACAGG